GCAUUGGUGGUUCAAUGGUAGAAUUCUCACCUCCCACGUGGGAGACCCGGGUUCGACUUCCCGGCCAAUGCA
rnacentral:tRNA from 1 species